GGAGGCCCCAGCUCCCUAGGGGCUGAGAAGCUGGAGUCCUGGGGAAGGGGAGGAGCUGAGCCCUACUCUUGCGAGACCCCCGCCCUCCUCCCCCCACGCGGGAAGCAUGAACAGAAAAGACAGUAAGAGGAAGUCCCACCAGGAAUGCACCGGAAAAACAGGAGGGCGAGGCCGGCCCCGCCAAGUGCGCCGCCACAAGACAUGCCCCAGCCCCCGGGAAAUCAGCAAGGUCAUGGCUUCCAUGAACCUGGGCCUGCUGAGUGAGGGCGGCUGCAGCGAAGAUGAGCUGCUGGAGAAAUGCAUCCAGUCCUUCGAUUCAGCUGGCAGCCUGUGCCACGGGGACCACAUGCUCAACAUGGUGCUGGCCAUGCACAGCUGGGUGCUGCCGUCCGCCGACCUGGCUGCCCGCCUGCUGACCUCAUACCAGAAGGCCACAGGGGACACCCAGGAGCUGAGACGGCUGCAGAUCUGUCACCUGGUCAGGUACUGGCUGAUGCGACACCCUGAGGUGAUGCACCAGGAUCCCCAGCUAGAAGAAGUCAUAGGUCGUUUCUGGGCCACCGUGGCCCGGGAGGGCAACUCAGCCCAGAGAAGACUGGGAGACUCUUCUGACCUGUGAGUCAGCCCUGUGCUCCCCUCUUCCCUGCCCCAUCGCCAUUCUGCCAUCUCCCUCUACAUCCCCAAGCCCUCAACUGUGAGCCACUCCAAUACCCUGCCCCUCUUGGCCCCCAGCCUGAGCCCUGGUGGCCCUGGCCCCCCACUCCCAAUAAGCAGCCCAGGCCUGGGCAAAAAGCGCAAAGUGUCCUUGCUUUUCGACCACCUGGAGACGGGGGAGCUGGCUCAGCACCUCACCUACCUGGAGUUCCGGUCCUUCCAGGCUAUCACGCCCCAGGACCUGCGGAGCUACGUUUUGCAGGGCUCAGUACGAGGCUGCCCGGCCCUGGAGGGCUCCGUAGGUCUCAGCAACAGCGUGUCCCGCUGGGUGCAGGUGAUGGUGCUGAGCCGUCCCGGGCCCCUACAGCGCGCACAGGUGCUGGACAAGUUCAUUCACGUGGCACAGAGGCUCCACCAGCUGCAGAAUUUCAACACGCUGAUGGCAGUCACAGGGGGCCUGUGUCACAGUGCCAUCUCCAGACUCAAGGACUCCCAUGCCCACCUGAGCCCUGACAGCACCAAGGCCCUCCUGGAACUCACUGAGCUCCUUGCCUCCCACAACAACUACGCCCGCUACCGCCGCACCUGGGCUGGCUGCGCGGGCUUCCGGCUGCCUGUACUGGGCGUGCACCUCAAGGACCUGGUGUCCCUGCAUGAGGCACAGCCCGACAGGUUGCCUGACGGCCGCCUGCACCUACCCAAGCUGAACAACCUCUACCUGCGGCUGCAGGAGCUGGUGGCCCUCCAAGGGCAGCAUCCACCCUGCAGCGCCAAUGAGGAUCUGCUGCACCUCCUCACGCUCUCCCUGGACCUCUUCUACACGGAAGACGAGAUCUAUGAGCUUUCUUAUGCCCGGGAGCCGCGUUGUCCCAAGAGUCUGCCACCCUCCCCCUUCAAUGCACCUCUGGUGGUGGAGUGGGCCCCUGGUGUGACACCCAAGCCGGACAGGGUCACACUGGGUCGGCAUGUGGAGCAGCUGGUGGAGGUAAGGAGGGGAGGGUGGCCCGGCCACCAGCAGCCAGGAGGGAAGACAUCUGUAGAACCCUGAGCCUGGAGGCGGGGACUUAUGGCCAUGGGGAUCAUAUUUCAACAACUGGGCCUUAUCUGCUUCCCCACACUCCUCUGAAGUCUGUGUUCAAGAAUUAUGACCCUGAAGGCCGAGGAACAAUCUCUCAGGAGGACUUUGAGCGACUCUCGGGCAAUUUUCCCUUUGCUUGCCAUGGGCUUCACCCACCCCCACGCCAGGGGAGAGGAUCCUUCAGCAGAGAGGAGCUGACAGGGUACCUGCUCCGGGCCAGCGCCAUCUGCUCCAAGUUGGGCCUGGCCUUCCUGCACACCUUCCAUGAGGUUACCUUCCGAAAGCCUACCUUCUGCGACAGCUGCAGUGGCUUCGUGAGCACCCCACCCUAUCACCACCCUUAGGUUCCAUCUGUCCUGAAGCCGGCAGUCCGCAAACCCCAGAUAACCCCCAAAUUCCAGAAAUCCUCCAGCUUCAAAUCAUCCUGUUUCAUAUAAACCCUAAACACCAGACAUUCCCUAUAUCCUGGAUAAUCUCCAAAUGCCAGAUAAUCCCCAAAUCCCAGAUAAUGUCCACCCCAGACAAUCGCUGAACCAUGGAUAAUAUCUAAAACUCUAGAUAGGAGGCCAGG
rnacentral:sRNA from 1 species